rnacentral:tRNA from 1 species
UUAUAUUUUAAUGUAAAAAGCAUAAAAAUUUUUGGGAUUUUAAGUGAUAAGAUAAUUAUCAAAUAUAAU